rnacentral:rRNA from 2 species
GACGAACCGUGCGAACGUUGUUCGGAAUCACUGGGCUUAAAGGGCGCGUAGGCGGGCGGCCGCGUCCGGGGUGAAAUCCCACGGCUCAACCGUGGAACGGCCUCGGAUACGGGCGGCCUCGAGGGGGGUAGGGGCAUCUGGAACUGUGAGUGGAGCGGUGAAAUGCGUUGAUAUUCACAGGAACUCCGGUGGCGAAGGCGAGGUGCUGGACCCCAUCUGACGCUGAGGCGCGAAAGCCAGGGGAGCGAACGGG